GAGGAAUAUUGGUCAAUGGACGGAAGUCUGAACCAGCCAAGUAGCGUGCAGGAUGACGGCCCUAUGGGUUGUAAACUGCUUUUGUAUGGGGAUAAAGUUAGGGACGUGUCCCUAUUUGCAGGUACCAUACGAAUAAGGACCGGCUAAUUCCGUGCCAGCAGCCGCGGUAAUACGGAAGGUCCAGGCGUUAUCCGGAUUUAUUGGGUUUAAAGGGAGCGUAGGCUGGAGAUUAAGUGUGUUGUGAAAUGUAGACGCUCAACGUCUGAAUUGCAGCGCAUACUGGUUUCCUUGAGUACGCACAACGUUGGCGGAAUUCGUCGUGUAGCGGUGAAAUGCUUAGAUAUGACGAAGAACUCCGAUUGCGAAGGCAGCUGACGGGAGCGCAACUGACGCUUAAGCUCGAAGGUGCGGGUAUCAAACAGGAUUAGAUACCCUGGUAGUCCGCACAGUAAGCGAUGGAUGCCCGCUGUUGGUACCUGGUAUCAGCGGCUAAGCGAAAGCAUUAAGCAUCCCACCUGGGGAGUACGCCGGCAACGGUG
rnacentral:rRNA from 1 species